GUGCCAGCCGCCGCGGUAAAACGUAGGUGGCGAGCGUUAUCCGGAUUUACUGGGCGUAAAGCGCGUUCAGGCGGCUUUGCAAGUCGGGCAUGAAAUCUCUUGGCUCAACCAGGAGAGGCUGUCCGAUACUGUGAGGCUUGAGGGCAGUAGAGGAUGGUGGAAUUCCGGGUGUAGUGGUGAAAUGCGUAGAUAUCCGGAGGAACACCUGUGGCGAAAGCGGCCAUCUGGGCUGCACCUGACGCUCACGCGCGAAAGCCAGGGGAGCGAACGGGAUUAGAUACCCCCGUAGUCC
rnacentral:rRNA from 1 species